rnacentral:sRNA from 1 species
GGGGUUGGGUCUGGGAGAUUUGCCCUUUCCCGCAGUUGGUUUCCACCUUCCAAGGAUCUCACAGAUUCCUCCUAUAUUCCUCCCAGCGACGUCAGAGAAGGCCCAAGGCCGAGACUCGUGAGGGGGCUGUGCUGACCUAGGCUGGCCGAGUCAGGUGCCUUAGGGGAGGAUCCAGGAAUGGAUACCUCGCCCUUCCGUGCUCGCACACUCUGGCUCUUAUCGCUCUGAAGACUCUUUAAUUAGAUUUCUCCCCUUUCCAAUGCGUUCACUUUUCUACAGAUGAGUCUCUUGGUGGAGACAGUUACCCUACCUGGUCCAUGUCUCCCUAACCAUCCGGAAGGCUAACUUCCACUUUUCAAGCAGCUUUGGCUGGUUUCCCUCCUUGAUUUCUCUGGCUGCCCCUACCAUUGCUUGUCUCACUGCCCCUGUCUUUUCUUAGGGCAUUUUUCUGGCUGGUCUCCCUGCUCCUGGCCUCUGUGGUCUGGUUCAUCUUGGUCCAUGUGACCGACCGGUCAGAUGCCCGGCUCCAGUACGGCCUCCUGAUUUUUGGUGCUGCUGUCUCUGUCCUUCUACAGGAGGUGUUCCGCUUUGCCUACUACAAGCUGCUUAAGAAGGCAGAUGAGGGGUUAGCAUCGCUGAGUGAGGACGGAAGAUCACCCAUCUCCAUCCGCCAGAUGGCCUAUGUUUCUGGUCUCUCCUUCGGUAUCAUCAGUGGUGUCUUCUCUGUUAUCAAUAUUUUGGCUGAUGCACUUGGGCCAGGUGUGGUUGGGAUCCAUGGAGACUCACCCUAUUA